AGUCGGCCCCGCAAGGGACUGACUUAGUGGCGAACGGGUGAGUAACGCGUGAGCAACCUGCCUUUCAGUGGGGGACAACAGUUGGAAACGACUGCUAAUACCGCAUGACACAUAGGUGUCGCAUGGCACUUAUGUCAAAGAUUUAUCGCUGAAAGAUGGCCUCGCGUCUGAUUAGCUAGUUGGUGAGGUAACGGCCCACCAAGCCGACGAUCGGUAGCCGACCUGAGAGGGUGACCGGCCACAUUGGGACUGAGACACGGCCCAAACUCC
rnacentral:rRNA from 1 species